ACAAACAAAAUGGUUUGUUUUUACUUGAAUUGCUCUUGACCAGCUUGCACCAACAUGGAGCAAUAUGGGCUGGCAUGCAAGAUAUAAGGGCAUGUAUCUCUGUAUUUGUGCUGUUACUGUGUUUUCACAUGACAUACUGUAUGGCAUCAAUAAGAUACAAUCCCUGAAACCUCCAUCAAUUAAUAAUAUAAGUUUGUUGACACACAAAAUUCCAUCUGAACCCUUUUCUUUGGGUUUGGUCAAUGUCUAUUCCAAGGUUUUAAGUCCUGGCGGGACGGGGGAAGUCCCGAUCGUCCUGCCCCAUUCCCAUGAAAAAAUGGGAUCGAGACGGGUUGGAACUCUGAAACCCAUCCAUGUGGUGAGAGGAAAAGACAGAGAAAAGAUGAAGAAAAGAAAAAAGUGAAAGUAAAGAAGAAAAAAAGAAAAAUGGAAGGAAGGGAGAAGAAAAGGAAAGGAAGGAAAGAAGGAAGAAAGGAGAGAGAAAGAAAAAGAAAAAGGAAAAAAGAAAGAAAGGUAGGGAUAAGAAAAAGAAAGAAAAAGGAAAGAAAAGAAAGGAAGGUAGAAGAAAAAGAAAGAAAAGAAAGAAGGAAAGAAAGAAGAAAAAGAAAGAAAGGAAAGAAGAAGGGGAGAGGAACAGAGGAUACCUAUUGGGACCGAUGUAGGGAUGGGGCGGGACAGCGGGGCGUCCCAUUCCAUGGAGAAACCAGGACACCCUCAUUCUAUGGGAUUUAAAGCCUUGGUCUAUUCUAUAUUCUUGCUAUUAGUUUUGUUGAUAAGAAUUAAGGAAUUUUCUAGAAAACUCAAUCAUAUGAAUUGAUUUCUUGGAUCUAGAUAGAAGUUUCACAAAAUUGCUCCUUAUGUUUGUCUGCUUGAGAUGUUUAAGUGAAUGUCUGAAUUGAUGGGAUACUCCACAGGUUUUUUUUAUGUUUCCAACUAUUUCUUGGAGGUUGAAAGAUAUGCUACUUCAUCUAGCUCCUUGUUUCUAUUUGGUCAACAUCUAUUUCUUACCAUGUUAUUAACACUUUGGAAUGAUGAUCAACACAUUUAUUUGGAGAUCUCUUAUAUUAUUGAGAUGUGGGAGUUGAAUAUAAUGGAUGACAGAAUUGUGCUAGAGGGAUGAUCACUUAUCAUGUUAAAUAGAAAGUAUGAACUAAAUUUAGAGAUUAGAAGGUGUAAUGCCAUUCAAAAUUAUAUUCAUUACCUAAAUCAAGUUAUAAACCAAUUCUAGCACCAUUGAAACUAUGUCGCCUAAAAGCCUAGCCUGGAAGCAGGAUUAGCGGUUCAAUAAGGCACGUGUCUUUACUUACCCAAGCAUAAGCGACAAUAAGCCAUUUUUUGGAGUUGAAUAGCUCAUUCUUGACAGUUCAGUCGAUCCCUAGAUAACUGGGGAUCAAUAGUUCCUUACGUCCCCUUGUAUCGGGUUUAUUCCCAUUCUCUAUCCCACCUGAUUAUCAAAAUGGCCGAGAACACCCUUUAUUAGCUAAAGCUAAUCAUGAAGAGCAGGGCGUAUUUGUCUUUGAACCAAGAAGAAUCACUGUAGUGUCAAUUGUAGUAUGGUACAAUGUAGUCAUGAGUUGGAGAUGAAGCAUUGGAGCACAAAAGAAGACUUUUUUAGCCUUACCCUCAAAAUAAUUAUAUAACCAUUGUGGAUAAAAGAAAAUUAUGCGAGAAUUUUCAGUUCUGUUUCCAAACUGGGCCUAAGAGUUUCUAAAUAAGGAGUUGAAUAUUCACUAUCUGUAGGAGAUUGUUACAUUAGUACAAAUCUAUUUUAGGUAACAAUGUAGAAGCUCUUUAUGGUGUUUAAGCACAAAAAAUCUGCUAUUUUGAUCCAUAAGGGAGUAGAAACGAUGGCAUAUGGUUGGAUGCCAAAAUUUUUCUAAAUGUGGGAGGUAAUGUGUUUGAAAGGAUAGCAAUUUAUUAGGGCAUGCGAGAACUUCAACCUCUACAAUCUCUUCUACAUCUUUCAUUCUUGUGGCAAGUUAGUCUAUGUUAGGAUGGAACAGGGUUUUAAAUAUGGGUAUUGAACCCUAUACUUUUUUCCCCAAUGGAACGAUAUGUAGGGUUGCUAAUGUGUUGGGUCGAAUAGGGGCAUGCUUGACCCCAACCUGACCUGACCCGAUUUCAUGUAAGGUCAUGAUAUUGGAUCCGGACCCAGACUAGUAGAUGGUCGGGUUGGGUUGGGCCUGGUCCAUGGAAAAUAUUUUAGAUCUAGUGGGUCGUUUAGUUCAGGUUGGGUUCA
rnacentral:lncRNA from 1 species